AGAAAUCAAUAUAUAUAUAUAUAUAUCUCUUUUAAUACAUUAUAUAAGGCGCACAAUUUGAGUUUAUACAGAGAGGGCAAAGAAAAUUUACGAAAGAUCUGAAAAGUCUAUUACAUAGCCAGAAAUCAUACAAAAAGUGCAUUGAUAGGAGGAUAGUAUAGGCAGAGGGUCACGUGACCCUGCUUGACAAAUCAAGAUUCGAUUCCAGUUUACCAAGUCUAUAUAUAUAUGUAUAUAUAUAUCUGUGAUUGGUAAUUUCCUAUUUUCAGUUCAUCAUGAAGAGUUCGGUUUAUCAAAAGACAUCCUCGGCCGUAUUUCCGAGCUGAUACCAGAUCAACUGCUAGAGAAAAAAACGGAAGAUACCAAAAAUAUUCGCUGUGCGGAGUAUGGUUUUAGUAGAAAUUGAAGCCAUUCUGGAAUGAAUCCGGAAGGUUCCGUGGCCGCGGGUGGGUUAACAGCAUAUAGGUUUCUUUAAGUAUCAAAUAGUUAAAUCCAUCAGGAGACAAAAAUUACUUCUGUGUUAGUAAAAUGGCUGCCAUAGUCCUGGAGGCAUCUCAGAAGAGUCCACAUUCCUAAAAUCCAGGCAGGUCGUCGGGUGGUGAGCAAAUGACUUUUUGGUAUGGUGAAUACAAAAUUUUAGAAAGCUUAAAGGGCUUGUCCACUUCGGACUAUAUAUUUUUGCUUGAAGGCUGCCCGAGGAUAAGCAAAAAUCAGAGGGUAAACCCUCCAGCAAUCAAAGAACAGAAAUUUGGCAAGUGUUCAAUUUCCCUGCAGCGCCUCCACAGGGGAAAUAAAGUAUUACACUGCUUCCAUUAAAAAGAAUGGGCUGUCUGUGUACUGUAGGGCAGGGCAGGUCCUCCAGAGCAAGAGACGCUCUUUGUAGCCACUAAGGGGGUGUCUAAACCUAACAUCCCCUUUAAGGAAUUUUUUUUUAUUCACCAGCAGGAUGAACUCUAUUAAAGCAGCCAUGAUGUAUUGUAGGGCUGACCCUGCAGAUUAAAGCCACGCCAUUCUUUGCCUGAUUUUCUGCUGCGUUUAGGAUAAAUGUUUCUAAAAAUAUGCAAAUAAGGGCUUAAGUGCACCCUAUUCACUCAGUGCACCUUAGCUCUUCCACAGUACUUCCCUGGACACUUCUCCUUCCACUUGGACUUUUGGUUCUGUCAAUCAAACAGAAGGGAAUCAUAGUGAAGGAGCUAAGGUGCACUGAGUUGGUCUGAUUCAGCAAUUUAUUGUCUUAAUCAGCAGGGUCAGCCCUACCAGGCAUUACGGCUGGUUUAAUAGGGUUGAUCCUGCUGGCAAAUGCACUUUAAUUACUUUGCUCAUAGUGAUGAGAACAUCAUAAAGUUUCAAUAAACAGUGAAAUUCCUUUAUAUAGGAAACCUGAUAAUCCAGAAAACAUGAUAAUCCAGCAUGGAUUUCAGAGACCAUCAAUAUAUACCCUUCAUCAAGUGAGUUUUAUAUUCAUCUGAUAAUCUGAGAUUCAUCAGGUUCCUAUGGAUGUCGGAUUAUAGGAGAAUACUGCCUUUUACUAGUAUUUUUUUCUGCUUUGUGUUGGGAAGUUUAGGCAAUGACCAUUUACAGUUUCCGACCAUGAAGCAUGCUGGGAAAACUCCCCAUUGUGUAAAGCAUGGGUGACACAGAUAUUCUCAUGUGUUUCUCAGUGCCCUCUAGUGGCUUGAAGAAGGAACUUGGCUUUGUAGGUGCAGUUGUGAUAACCCCCAAACCCAAACUAUCUCGGUCUGUUCUCCAGGUAGGUGCAAGCCAGUAAGUAGCACCCAUUAAUGACAACCACUAACUUCCAUGCUUUAAUUUGCACAGAUAACGCCAGCAGUUAAUCGUCAGCUGCUUCUUCUCACAUAGUCAUGGGUGUGUACAUAAGAGCUUAGCUCCACCCUGGAGGAACGUUAAACCUUCUAUUAUGGGAUUUAAGUAUCUGUAGUUGCCCCCCUGCUGUCUACACUCAUAUGGGUGCCAUUAAUACCACUUGUGUCCUGCUGAUGGAGAUGGAAUUUCCAGCUGCAGCUCUGCUCUAUUAUGAGAACUACUAUUCCCAUUUAUAUACUGGUCACACUGGUGCCUUGGGAUCUGUUUUUACUGGACACAUGAUGGAUAUGUUUUGCAAUGGAUAUUGAGUGCUCCCUUUGGUAUUAAUCGACCAAUAAGAUUUUUGUUUAGUGAGUACAGUUUACAAGACUCCACCCACCAGGAGCAACAGCAACCGGGACACCGUUGUGACUCCAGCAAUGUGAUUUGUUUUUUAUUUACUUAUGUUAAUGAGAUGCCAAAUUCAUUAAGGGGGUUGUCUGGAAUUAGAAAGCAGGGACAGGUUUUGUACAUGGCGGUGUCUGGUAUUUCUGCUAAGCACCACCCAGUCGGAAAGAGCUGAGUUGUAAUGCCAGAUCCAACCAUCGAGUGGUGCUGUAUCUGGGGGAAAAAAAAGCAGAACCUUUUUUAUU